UGAAUUGUUGCUUCUGUGCUAAGUUUUUGCUAUAGGCACUCGUCUCUUUUGUUUUGUUUCUUGUAUUUUCGUAUCCUGUCUGAUUUAUGAGGCGUGAAUAAUUUUACGCCCCCUAGAGCCCGAUUGUAGCUGAGAUAGGCACCAGCGUCCCCCGCGACUCCAAAGGGAAUAAGUGGUAGAAAAUGGAUGGAUGGAAAUACAUUUCCCUACCUGCAUUUUUCCUCCGGGGUUUCUGUCUGCAUCCUGGGAGAACGACCCACGCAUAAACAUGCGACCCAACCGUGACAUCUUUUGAGCUGUGGUUUGCACCAGGCAGGCAGGCAGAGAGUGUGUUGCUGAGUGGCUUGGCGGUGUUCCUCAACAAAUCAAAAGUGGACGAGUGAGGAGACGCUUUUAUUUUGAUAUGGAAGAAAUGAGACGUGCAGCAACAUGAUGACUUUAUCCCGGGCAAUGCCGAGCCAUUUUCAGACGCAUCAAUGGCAGGAAGUGGGCAUCGGCUCACCACUGCGGAAAGG